GCAACAAGGAGUGCAAUCGCAAAUCGAAAGCAAGUUACACGCACACGUACGCUUGCGCAAAUGAGCAGAUUCCAACUGUACGAAGGUUAUAGCACAUAUUUCAAGAGAGCGAUAGCUGUGCCCUUUCUAGCUUCAGCCAAGGUCUGACAGAACGAUUCUCCCCAGAAAACCGAUGCAUGAGGUCCAUUAUGGGACUUCUUCCGAGCGUACUCCUGACUAACGCAGAGGCUCUUGACGAAUAGAUGCAGGAGCUGAUGUUCUGGGAAGCAGAUCUUCCUUCACCAGAAAACAUAAAGGCAGAGAUCCAGAGCUGGACAAGAUUUUUUUUUCAAAACAUGGACAAAGCUCAGCUUCCUGAGAACUUGGUUGACUGCCUGGGACAUGCAGAUGAGGACUUUUUUUCCUAACAGCAGGACGCUGAUCAUUCUGGGCUGCACGUCUCCAGUCACCAGCUGCGAGGCUGAACGUUCUUUUCGGCACUCAAGAAGAGUAAAGACAUAUCUUCGAUCGACUAAGGGGGAAGAGAGGCUUGCUGGACUCACCCUCAUGGCUAUCCACUACCAGGCAACCCUGCAGCUAAUUAAGUUCCAGCAAAAUAGUUCAGGGAUUUGUACAGAAACAUCCAAGGCGUCUCAUCUGCCAGUCCAUCAUAUUUGACUGAGAUUUGCCAGUGAGUAUCAGCGACAAGCUGUUCAUAAUAAAAGUAUUAGGCUAACAGUGCUUAUUCCAAGGUUAACUGACCUUACAUUGCAGGAAAAUGCAACUUAAUUUUACAAAUUUUCAUGGGGGUUAAUUUGGCAACGACCU